CAGUAGCCGCGGGAAUACAGAGGGUGCGAGCGUUAAUCGGAAUUACUGGGCGUAAAGCGUGCGCAGGCGGUUAUAUAAGACAGAUGUGAAAUCCCCGGGCUCAACCUGGGAACUGCAUUUGUGACUGUAUAGCUAGAGUACGGCAGAGGGGGAUGGAAUUCCGCGUGUAGCAGUGAAAUGCGUAGAUAUGCGGAGGAACACCGAUGGCGAAGGCAAUCCCCUGGGCCUGUACUGACGCUCAUGCACGAAAGCGUGGGGAGCAAACAGGAUUAGAUACCCCGGUAGUCCCUGUCUCUUAUAC
rnacentral:rRNA from 1 species